GCUGCUGAGGAGUCCCACAAUAGGACGAAGCGGUCGUCCAGAGC
rnacentral:hammerhead_ribozyme from 1 species